UUGACGACCCUGGGAACUAUCGCUCGAAAAUGGGCUGUUUUGGGAUUCGGCCGGAGUGUUACUGUUCCCCGGUUGAUAACCCGACCGCGAACCCCGGGGGCGCAGAUGUGGUCGGAAGGUUAUGCGCAACACACCGCAGGGUCAACCGAAAUGCGCUCUUGGUUGCGCUGUUGCGCUUGGGUUUGUUUGUUUCAUUCAUCGUUCGCUGGACUGUGGUCACGUUAUCGCCAAGCUUCUUCCCCCAGUGAAGUCCAGUUACAGCCGUUUGAGCAGUGAAUCCUAAUCUCUUACCAGCGGGAGGGGUAGUGUCGGACCUUUUUCCCGCUAACCUUUUCCAUCGAUCAAUGUGAAUCGAAUGUCAAUUGAUUGUUGAUAACAGUGGCAAGUUAGACACCAGCAGAGUAGGAGCAGUCGAGUUUGAAGCGCUUCUGAAAAAAUCGGCGUAAAACGGGUGUGUGACCAGAGCAGUAAGAACACACACACCCCUGCCCCCAGUUUAGAAUGUCCCAAAACCUGGUGACUGAGUAAGCAGCUUGGGUAAGCAGCAUAAUCCAUAGGAAGCAUCCUUGCGUGCUGGAACGCGAAUAAAGCUUCUCUCUUAAGUCUCCACCAUCACACACGAAGCAGUGACACUCUAAUGAUUGCCCCAAAUCUUGUUUUAAAACCUUUCGCUUCCUGUCGACUCUUCACUGCAACAAUGUGAAAGGCUAAAUAGCAGAACCAUCUGACAAUAAUGCCGACAAUAAAUAUCUAACGCACCAGA